UCACGUGUUUCAAACAGAGCUUCUACGUUUGCCGGUCGUUAUGCGUUGGUUUGUAUUUUGACAGGAAGGUGCUGGACUGACAGCCUUGGAGGCAAAAUUCUCUGGACAGAUACACACUAGAAACAUCUACACAAACCUUCUCACCACAGUGCUUUCUGUCUGUACAAACCUUCCAUCAAUCCAGACCUGAAGUAAUCAUCUCUAGUGAAUACAUCUGUAUUCUCCUCUUCAAAGGAGCAGGGAACCAGGCCCAGUGGAAGUUAGGAUGCCUGAGUAGCUGCUCUAACUUACACGAUUGGCAAAUUGCCCUUUAAGUCUGUACCACACCACCUAUCCAUCUUAUGGGAGAGUGGAGAAGAAGGUGCAGCAGAUGCUGGCACAGGAACCACUUCCACCAGCCUUAUGCCAUCGAAGAUUUCUCCUGCACAAGGUAAUUCUCAGCUGGUCAUCUCCAACCAGAAUCCAGAAUUAGGACAGAGAAGACUGGAGAAUUCAGCCCAUGGUCUUAACAUGACCCAGAAGAAAUGAAUUUAGAUGCACUGCUGUAAAACAGUA